rnacentral:rRNA from 1 species
GUAGGUGGCAAGCGUUGUCCGGAAUUAUUGGGCGUAAGCGCGCGCAGGCGGGGUCCUUUAAGUCUGAUGUGAAAGCCCACGGGCUCAACCGUGGAGGGUCAUUGGAAACUGGGGGACUUGAGUACAGAAGAGGAAAGCGGAAUUCCAAGUGUAGCGGUGAAAUGCGUAGAGAUUUGGAGGAACACCAGUGGCGAAGGCGGCUUUCUGGUCUGUAACUGACGCUGAAGCGCGAAAGCGUGGGGAGCAAACAGGAUUAGAUACCCUGGUAGUCCACGCCGUAAACGAUGAGUGCUAAGUGUUAGGGGGUUUCCGCCCCUUAGUGCUGCAGCUAACGCAUUAAGCACUCCGCCUGGGGAGUACGGCCGCAAAGGCUG